GACCAAAGAACAAAACAAAAGAUAAGAGCAAAACAAAAGGACAUCAGCCAAAAUUAGGAAAGUUCCUGAAGAUUAGGGUUCUUCCUCUUCUAACCACUAGAAAGAUGGUCGGAAUCGGCCUUCAUCAUCGAUCUAUAGCAAGCUUCUUUGCUUUGGAUACACUUUCUCGCACCCCAAGCUCUCACCAGGUGCUGUGGAUCCAUCGCCAUGGAGUUGAUUCUCAGAGUGUAGCCAAAUCUUGAUCUAUGAGUGCUUAUUGCAGAUACUUUAACUUCAAAGACCUCUAUGCAGAAUCAUCUCCUUCAAAGGUUCAAAAGAUUUGUAACCAUCUCAUUUCCUUGCAUGUUCUCCAUUUCUGUACUAUUCUGCUCAACUUCAGUUUCUACUUGAUUUUUUUUUGCGAUUUCAUUUACAGGAAACACAAAUUCAACAUGGGACACUAUAUGAGCACUAGGAGAUUUCUCCAAUGUUUUCUGUUGCUCUUUCUCUUUGUUGUUAGUGAUAUUUCUCAUUUCUGCAUGUUGUUACUUUGCAGGUAUGUCAACAACAUCUACUUGAGAACAAUCAACAAUUUUUUCCACCUCUUUAGUUUCUGGUGGUUUUCCAAAGAUUUGUAAGUUUCCCUCUACUAGCAUCGCCUUCCAUCAUCUCUGCCUUACUUUCUUCUAGUAUAUUAGAGAAAGAAGCACAUAAAAGUUCUUUAUUCUUAUUGUUCACCUUCUCCACCUGUUGUUGGUCCUCUUCUACAGCAUUUUUUGACUUACUGGUGACCUCAUUUUUCUUCUGAUUUGUGGAAUUAGAGUUAACUUCUUGACAAGAUUCAGUAUCUUUUUUCCCCUCUGAUUCUGUGCCUUCAAUCUCCUCUAUCCUAUCUCCCCAUUUCUUUGUUGAUUCUAUUGUUGAUGUCUCCUUUGUUGUUUCCAAUGGCUUUUAAAUUGUCAUUUUAGCAUCCUCUUGUGCAGUAAUUUCCACCUCAGGUUUAGUCCCCUUAUUUUCACAACCAGUGUUCUGCUGAGUAGGUUCUUCAUCCCUUUUAUCCUUGAUAUCUCCUGAUGCAGUCACUUCCUUAUUGGUACCUUCUAUAAUUUCAUUCAUUGUUUUAGUAUCACCAGCCUUCAUCUCCUUGUCUUUUUUAUCCCCUUCCUCUGUCAAUGACUCAAAUUUGUUAUGAGUAUGUAUCUGAUCAUUUGAAUCCUUCAAUUUUUGUCUAGCAGUCUCCUUCCUUUUGUUUUUAUCUUUCCAAAUAGGUGGGGGAUGUCCAACCACUUUGCCACUAGUGAGAACUUUCAUGGGCUGCUUAAAAAAUUGUUCCUGUAAUUAUGAUUUCUAUUAACACCCUUGCGAUAUGGUACUGUUUUCUUCAUUCCAUCUUCCGCUUGUUUUUGCUUCUGUAUUUUAUCUGUUUUGACUUCAUUAUUUAUGUGUUCCUCUUUUGCAGGUCUCAGUUCCGAAUUCAAAGACUCUACAUUCUUCUUCAUUGUGACCCUGUAGUUUACGCUCAAAGCAAUAUUUCGGUAGAUAGUCAUAUCUAAUGUUCACCAUCUCUGUCCUCUCAGCCCCAGUUUCCUCAUUUAUUAUAUCCAUUUGCGCUGUUCUCAUUAGAUCCGAAUUUAGAUUUACCAAAACAUUUACCAUAGCACAACUCAGGCGAGUCCUGUUCACUGUUGCAAGGUCUAGAUGCAAUGGCUUUCCAACAGAAGUAGCCAAUGAAAACAGUGAUUUCUUCACAAAAAAUGUAGGGAGCAGAUUAGGAAAUGAUAUCCACGCCAUCACUUUUGUAGUUUCCUCCUCUAUUUUGAAUUUUGAAUCAUAUAUCCGAGGCCGCAUCUGGUAGUAGUAUCCA